UGGGGAAUCUUGGACAAUGGGCGCAAGCCUGAUCCAGCCAUGCCGCGUGAGUGAUGAAGGCCUUCGGGUUGUAAAGCACUUUCGGACGGAACGAAAUCGCACGGGUGAAUAUCCCGUGUGGAUGACGGUACCGUAAGAAGAAGCACCGGCUAACUACGUGCCAGCAGCCGCGGUAAUACGUAGGGUGCGAGCGUUAAUCGGAAUUACUGGGCGUAAAGUGUGCGCAGGCGGCUUCGCAAGUCGAGUGUGAAAUCCCCGGGCUUAACUUGGGAACGGCGCUCGAAACUACGGAGCUAGAGUAUGGCAGAGGGAGGUGGAAUUCCACGUGUAGCGGUGAAAUGCGUAGAGAUGUGGAGGAACACCAAUGGCGAAGGCAGCCUCCUGGGCCAAUACUGACGCUCAUGCACGAAAGCGUGGGGAGCAAACAGGAUUAGAUACCCAUGUAGUCCCUGAGCGGGCUGGCAAGGCGCAU
rnacentral:rRNA from 1 species